AGAAAGGAGGGUGGAAUGGGAUUCCAUGAUUUACACUGUUUUAAUCAAGCAAUGUUGGCUAAGCAGUGUUGGAGACUUCUAUGUGAACCUGACUCAUUAUGUGCUCAUGUACUUCGAGCAAAAUAUUAACAGGAUGGAGACCUUUUUAAAGUCGAGCUCAAAAAAGGUGCCUCAUUUACAUGGCCUAGCUGUAUCAUGUCAGGUCUAAAGACUUUGAGGAGGGGUGCAGUUUGGAGACUAGGUAAUGGGGCAAACAUUAAAAUUUGGUCGGAUUUUUGGAUUCCAACUGCCCAUGAUAGGCGUGUUUUGACUCCCCGUGGGAAUUGUCUUCUUGAGACUAUACAUGAUCUUAUUGACCCACAAAUAGGUGAGUGGGAUGUGCAGCUGAUACAUGAUAAUUUUUGGCCUAUCCAUGCUAACACGAUUUUACGAAUUCCGCUUCCAUCUCAAGAUCAGACAGAUUUCAUAGCUUGGCAACUAUGUAAGCCUGGGAGCUUUACUGUUCGAUUAGCAUACCAUGCAGAAUGGAACACGGAGUACCGUACUGGGGCGGGUGUUGUUACAGGUAUGGGAAGAAGUAACUCGGAUUCGGUAUGGAAGUUACUUUGGGAUUUGAAAAUUCCUCCCAAGGCGCAUAUUUUUAUUUGGAGAGCUCUACAUGGAAUAAUUGUGCAUUGGCGAACAAGCAUAUUAAGACUCCGGUGA
rnacentral:rRNA from 1 species